AUACGGGGGGUGCAAGCGUUAAUCGGAAUUACUGGGCGUAAAGCGCGCGUAGGCGGUUUGCUCAGUCGGAUGUGAAAGCCCAGGGCUCAACCUUGGAACUGCAUACGAUACUGGCAAACUAGAGUGUGAGAGAGGAUAGUGGAAUUUCCGGUGUAGCGGUGAAAUACGUAGAUAUCGGAAGGAACAUCAGUGGCGAAGGCGACUGUCUGGCUCAACACUGACGCUGAGGUGCGAAAGCGUGGGGAGCAAACAGGAUUAGAAACCCUAGUAGUCC
rnacentral:rRNA from 1 species